UACAGAGGGUGCGAGCGUUAAUCGGAAUUACUGGGCGUAAAGGGUGCGUAGGUGGUCUUUUAAGUCAGAUGUGAAAACCCUGGGCUCAACCUAGGAAUGGCAUUUGAUACUGGAAGACUAGAGUUCGGAAGAGGAAAGUGGAAUUUCAGGUGUAGCGGUGAAAUGCGUAGAUAUCUGAAGGAACAUCAGUGGCGAAGGCGACUUUCUGGUCCGAUACUGACACUGAGGCACGAAAGCGUGGGGAGCAAACAGG
rnacentral:rRNA from 1 species